rnacentral:lncRNA from 1 species
CUUUUCUUCCUUAAUAUUAUAAUCCUCUCUAAUAAGCAUAUCAUAUAUUCAAUGACAAAAAAGGAUGGAAACCUGUGAAGCAACUGGAAUUUGGAUUUCUUUAAAGCCAAGUAAUGAAAGUGGGUUUCUCAUGAUUAAUGCAACCACACACUGAUGAAAACUACUCUUUUAUAUAUUAUGUAAAAAACAGAUGUAUGCCAACAAAUUAAACCUCCUUUUCCUAUCAUCUCAAUUUUGAUCACUUCACUUGAACGGUAAAUUAUGCUACCUGGCUGCUUCUUCUUCUUCUUCCUUUUCGUCGCACUUCAGGUACCGGAUGUUUCAUUUUCGUCGCAUUGUACGUCUGAAACAGUAUCUAAAACUUUCGAAAAAUGCAUGACACUUCCUACUCAACAAGCCUCAAUCUCGUGGACUUUCCAUCCUCAAAACGCCACCCUCGAUCUCGUCUUCUUUGGUAGCUUCAUAUCUCCUUCAGGCUGGGUUGGGUUCGGGAUUAAUCCGAUUUCUCCUGAAAUGACAGGAACGCGAGCUUUGAUCGCUUUCCCGGACCCCAACUCGGGCCAACUAGUCCUGCUACCUUACAUUCUAGAUCCCACAGUGAAACUCCAACGAACACCGCUCCUUUCCCGCCCCCUUGACAUCCACCUCCUCUCCUCCUCCGCCACCUUAUAUGGUGGUCGUAUGGCCACCAUACACGACGGUGCAACUAUUCAAAUAUAUGCCACUUUCAAACUCGUCCCCAAUAAAACGAAGAUUCAUUAUGUAUGGAACCGCGGAUUAUAUGUUCAAGGUUACUCCCCAACUAUACAUCAAACUGCAAUCAAUGAUCUUUCGUCCAUAACCACAAUUGAUGUCCUGUCUGCAACUACGGCCAAGGCACAAAACAAUAAUAUCAGGACACUAAAAAUCAUUCAUGGCAUCAUAAACGCGAUUUCUUGGGGAAUGUUACUUCCAAUAGGGGCCGUAACUGCGCGAUAUUUAAGACAUAUACAAACUUUAGGCCCUACAUGGUUUUAUGCACAUGCUGGAGUUCAACUUUUUGCAGUUUUCUUAGGAACUGUAGGAUUUUCUAUUGGAAUUAGGCUAGGGGAGUUGUCUCCUGGACGGGUUUACGGGCUUCAUCAGAAACUCGGUUACGCAACAUUCUGCCUCGGGUGGCUUCAAACACUGGCUCUUUUGUUUAGGCCUAAAACAACAAACAAAUUCAGGAAGUAUUGGAAAUCGUACCAUCAUUUUGUCGGGUAUGCUUGUGUAGUAUUGGGUGUCGUUAACUGUUUUCAGGGAUUCCAAGUGAUGGGAGAAAGCAGGUCUUAUGCUAUGUUGGCAUACUGUUUGUGCUUGUCUACUCUCAUUGGCAUUUGCAUUGCACUGGAAGUGAAUUCUUGGGUUAUUUUCUGUAGAAAAUCCAAGGAAGAUAAAUUAAGGAGAGAAGGACGAAUUGGAAUUGGAAGUUCUGAGAAAGGCAGCGGAUCAGGUCAUGGUUGACAGCCUAUUCUUAAAUUUACUUUUUUAGAAAUGAGAACAAGACGGGAUUUACUUUCCAGAAAAAGGUGGAGUUUUGAAAAUCAUAUAUUUGAUAUUGUAAGUAAUUUUGGUCGAUCAUAUAUGUACAGAAUGUGUAAUAUGCAGCACAUAUUCUGUCUUUUAGCUUUCGCAACGUUCACAGCAGUUUUGUUCAAUAGAAUGAAAUUCUGCAAUGCUAGAUGAAGUAAAGUUAUGCAGCUUUGUAUUAAUUUCCAGUGAAAGCCCCAUCGAGCUGGGAGCUUGCCUAACACCAUUUUCUAGGGAAAAUUUAACGUGCGGUCACUAAAGUUUGGAGAAAUCUCAAUUGGGUCAGUAAAUUUUAAUUUGUUUCAAUUGGAUCACUAAAUUUCAGUUCAAAUUCUGUCACCACUGAUCUCCUAAAUUGAUGAAAUUUCUUACUUUUACAAGGGCGUCCUCAAAUGAGAUCUUAAUAAAUUUUUAAAAAUUAUAAAUCUUAUAGAAUUUCUUGAAUUUGAAUAGAUUUUCAUAGAAUCUAUUGACCUCGUCUUUGUAGGGAAACGUAGCCAACAUAUCCCAGCCUUGUUCUUGCACCCUUGGAUAAACUAUCAGUCACACAAACCUUUUUCGAUGGUGGAGGAUGUAACCACCUGCACUUCAACAAUCAAGUAAAUCAAUGUAUAGGUGUACGUGUGUAUGAUGUGCUAAAGACAUGAACCACUAGGUGUUGAGGGGCUGGAUUUAUGAAGGUAUGAGAUUAAUAUAUAUUGAAAUCAAACUUGUAGCUUUGAAGUCUAAAGUUGCAUUACUUUCAUAUGGUAUUAAGUGUGAGCUUUUAUAGUAUAAGAAAUGUGCUAUUGAUAGUUGGUUGGAAAGACGUGGUCUCAUCCUAAUGGUCGAGAAAUCAUCUCCUACAUGUCAAUCCAUACAUUAUAGGUCUGGCCUUAAGAUUGUAAGAAGAUUUUGUCUGAAAGAUCUCUUGGAAAGAUGUGAAGUGGGAGAUUAAUUGCCUCGCACUUCUUCCCUACAGCAUGCGUGGCACUUUGCCUAUGCCAUGAAGGUCGACAUCUACAUGGC